UGGGAAGUUUACGAAUUUCGGUAUUGAAAACCGCAGACCACCCUCAGUUGUGCUUUGUCCACUGUACUGUAAAUGCUGCUAAUAUACCUCUGUCGCUAGCAGACGCAUGUCUUUGCAUUCGAUUGGUUGAACGGCAUUUCGUUUGCUGAUGGAGAACACCUUUGUUUUAAUUUGUAUUUUGUCAUCGGUUAUGUUAUUUGUUUUGUCUGUUACACUGAACUCUAUAAUGGGGUCUGUUAUUUGAUUUGAUUUUGUUAGGUAAAGAUGAAAGGCACUGUGACUAUAAAUAAUGGAAGGCUCGUUACUGUUGGCGUUUCUGAAGACAGCGGUUCGAUCCAGCUGAAGGACGUCACCUGGCAGGAAGUUGCAGAGUGUGGUGGCCAGUAUCAAGCCACAUUGUCCAGAAACCAUCACAUUAUCUCCAGGUCACUAGUCGCCGGUGCUCGAGCUGACGGCGUCGUUCAACGGCUCCACGGUGACAAGCGCCGUCACCGCUGCCGCCGCCGCCGAGACCAUCCGACUCCUGGGCCCUGUUUCACGGCAGCGUACUGCAGCGCGCUACGCAGCGCUGCUGUGUUAGUGUGGCGAUUGAGACGAAUUCGGCUCGGCGCUCCAGCAUUGCGAAACACCCGUGUCUAUGAAGGAUACGCCGAUACGUCCCCCAGCUUCAAGCCCUUCCCGCCCCCCCCCCCCCGCCCCGUCCCAACGGUGUUGGCCGAGAUUGGGGUUUGGUAUUUUAACGGGCUCUCCGAUGACGUCCCGCAAUUUGUGUUAUGUAAUUUGACGAUUAUGUCGUAGUCUCAUUCUGUCUCGAUAUGCUAAUAAGUGAUAAAUGGGACGGAGGUUGGAAGUAAGGUGUGAGUGGCUGUAACCGGCAGGUUUUGGCGAGCGCGAUAUUAGUUAUCGUGAGCGCGCCAGCUGCAAUCAAUCGCGCGCUUCUGGCGAGAAAAUACUUGCUCUGGAACCUAGAAGUUUGUCGUGAAAUCACCUUUGGAUUGAAUUAUUAGAACAUAAUGUACUUUCGGUGUCCAGCACUGCAGCUCUGGAAACAGAAAUAUGGAUGUUGGCUGUUUGAUGUAGCAAGGGCUAACAAUCCGCGUCAAGAAUCAAAAGCUGUAUGCAAAUUAAAGUGAAUAUAUUUCAAUGAAUUU